AACUAUUUUGAAGGCUAAGAGAUAUUUGCAGGAAAUCUAAGAAAAAGCUGUUCAUCCAGUCUCCUCAGUGCUUUCAUUUAACUAGCGAUAAUUAACUCCCUUCUCAGAGUUAGGAAUCUAGGAACCAUUUCUGUCCCUGGAUAAACUGUUUCUGGGCACUGCAUCCCCACCCGGAAAAUAGGAAUUGCCAGACUGGAUAAGAACAGAGGUCCGCCAGCACCAGAGACAGAAAGUCCUCUCAUGUCCAUGGGACGAGACUUCUGGGUUCAAGGACUCAAAGACAGGUCAGUAUCUGCAAAGCCAAUGGACACAGCGACAGAAGAACAGGAUACCCUCUGCAGGACAGGAUGGUCCAGGACAGAAGAGCCAACAGCAGCAUUAAUCUAAGGGAACAGCAAUGAGUGACACUGACACAACGUCAUGGACACAACAAACUCCACACCGUAGACAGAUAUUAGCUCAAAGGGUCUGGUGUGCAAAUCAGAGUCAGGCACAGAAGCAUCAUAGCUGUAAAAACUAGGCUUGUCUACAACAGACGUAGCUAAUGAGAAAUCUGAAUUGUGUGGUUUCCUUCUGGUAAUCCUAGCUCUAUUCCCUGAGCAGCUUUGUAUGCAGUGCCAAAUGUGAGGCCAGGAGGACAGGCACCAGUGGAGAUAGUAUAUACUUCAUCAGACUAGCACUAGUGUAACUGGGUUUAUAUCCUUCCCUCUUGAAAAAUGGAACCAUCAUCUCAAGGACACUGCCGGAGAACAGAAGCCCUUAGGCUGUACCUGACCUUAGAUGGCAGCAGGCUGGUUCCAGAAAGCUUAAAUUUUUUAGAUCUUCCACAAUGGCGUAACCACUGACAACAACAGUCAUUAUGCUAGAAAAAUCCCACCUUCAGCCAUCAAUAGUUCAAAUAUUCAGCACACUUCUGGAGGACAAGUUUAGGAAUUUGUUGAUCCGCAUGACACCUAUGGCUGUGUCAUAUCUCAUUGACUGGCAAUAGGAGGUAUCCUGCCAAUGAAAGCUUACAACUCUGGGAUCAGCCUGUGCAACCCUCAUGAGCCACGGUGGGGGUUACUCACAGAGUCUGAGCAACAGACUCUGACUCUAAAGGAAUUAAGAAAACUUUUGAAACUGACAGCUAGUCCUGUUCAACCUCCAGCGGCAAUGCAUUCUGUUACAGCACUUUCCAUUUGGAAGUCAAAACCCUCAGCCUGAACACAGCCGUUGUUACAAUAUAUAUCUGUGAUUAUCCAGGGUUAGAUGAGUAAAGCUGCUUUAGAGAUUCCUUGAAAUGAGCAUGUACCUCCAUAAAGGUUAACUUGGAGUUACACAAAAUGCAUGAAAGAUGAACAGUAUUCAGUAUUAAUACUCUUCAGAAUUUUACAACGAAUGAGCUACACGUCAUUGAUUAUUUACAGAGAGCUCUACACCAUCGUAAUUCCAAAGUAAUAGCACGAUAUAUAUGCCCUGAAGCUUGUUGGAAUGGAAAAAAUGUUACCAGUGAUAUUUGGUAAAAUAAGUGCAGUAUAAAGGUCAUUGUGAGGAGGUGUAAAGUUACAAGAUAUCUUGGCCAUGAAAUUCAGUUGAAAUAAAUUCAGGAAUUAUUAAUCUGUCCUUAGAGUGAUAUGAUGCAUUGGCAAAUCUGCAGUGAACUGAAUUUCACUUAGGUUUUCGUUUUAAGGGAAAACUGAAGAGGGGAAAAAAAAACCCCGCCCAGCUGCACAAAGAUUUUAGAAUGUUCCCACAGCAGAACUGCUGUUUUGACAGAGCUUUAGCUUCAACUGGCAGCAUGUCCCAUAAGAGUUUUUUCCUCCUUUUUUAUACAAAGAUAGUGUUUAGUAUUGUAUCUCUGUGUUUGCCUGGAGCAAUCUGAGGUGCUAGGUUUUUCUAAUAGUUAUUCACAUUUGAUUUUCAUAUUAUGGCUGUUCAAGGUUUGCAAUGGUGUUUUAGUUUUAAUUUGACAGAAAUUAAUAAGAGAAGGAGAAAGAAAUCAUACAUCAGGCCUGUACAGCAGUCCUGUCACACAGCCUAAUUUGUUAGACAAUAAGAAUAAUCUACCACUUCCAAUUUAGACUCAGUAAAAUAAACACAUGUAUAUUAAUGAUUUAAAAAUAUUUCUGUUCAGUCAAGCAUGUCUUCUUUAUGCAGAAUAGCAUCAGAUCAAUAAUUAGUUGCCAUACAUUUUAAUAACCAGAGUUUUAGUUUAGGAUUGUUUUUCAUAAUUUUGCAUUUAUGUUUGACAAGUUCAGGAGCUGGUCUUAUUUGAAAGAGAAAACAUUAAUGCAAAAAUUACUUCUCAUUGUAUUAUUGCUCACCACAUCUAAUAUGUAAAUACCCAGACGAACUCACGCUUAUAUUAGCACAGAGAGGAUCAUAGAAAUCUUAUAGACAAAGUCUAUUUGUCCCACUUUACUCCACGCAUUAGUAUUCUCUACAGUACUUAAUUAUUCAGGGUUGUACUUUUAAAUUAAAAAUAGAUAUUGUACAUAAAUGAUCAUUUGAGUGGAAGAGCAUGAAAAUAUUGUCAAAAUGAAAUAUAUGAUAAGUUUCCUUAAGGUGUAUUUCUGGUCAAUGGCACAUCAUAGUGACAUGACCUAAUGUAAACAUUUUACCCUUCAUUAUGGGUUUAAAAAAAUGUGUCAGUGACUGGUUGUAAUGUGGAAAACAAGAAAGGAGCCAGCUGAAAUUGCUGUAUAAUCAAACACAGCAUGAACAUAUUAUUUAAUAGUGGAUGCAUUUGUGUAUAAUUGUUGAGGAGUGUAAGAAUUGUUACCUUUAGUUACAAAAGCCAUGACUGUCAAGAAAAUAUAAUUUUUGGUCUAGGGAAAUAAUUUUUGUCGCAAUGGUUUUACUCAAAAUAAUUUAUUAAUUUCAAUGUUGAUUGCUGACAAUUAUGCAGGGAUUUGGCUGAUUCUAGAAAAUUGCUCUGCCUGUAACUGUUGGGUGCUGUGGUGGACCAUAUGACACGCUGCUAUGAAAGGAAGUUUUCAUCUCCUGCUCCGUGAUGUCUGCAAAAAUGACCUACUCCAAGACAAGCCAGUUUCCAUGUACAGUAGCUGAGAACAGUGAUCAUUUGGCAGGAAAAGCAAAAAGCCACAAGCACUUGAGAGUACUGUGUAGGGCCUGAAAAAGCUGCAGGACUUCUCUAGCUGUUACCCAGGUGGUGAAGAGGUUUGAACACAAGACACAGGGAGCCAGGAACUCCUGAAUUUUAGCCCACUUAAGGCCUUACCGACAGAUAACCUAAGGCCUUAUCUACAUUGGGAAUUAGUACCAGUUACACCCGUUUGUGUAAUUACACCAGUGUAGUUGCACCAGUAUAAAACCCUCUGUAGGCCAGGAAAGCUGUGAUUUACACAGGCGGCGUUUACCCUGGUUUCAAGCAGAGGUCCUUGCCUACUCUAGAGGGUUGGUUCUCCACUGCCCCGGCACAGCACUUUAAUUUACACCACUGGUGGCAGAGGCCCGUCCAAAGCGGAGAAUUGGGCACAGGGAAACCUCCUCCUCAGACACAUACUCUGCUUCACCUUAAGAAGGGGGUAUUCUGGUGCAGGAGACAGCAGAGCUGGUCAUGGAGCCACCUUCGGCAGCUUUUUAUACCUGGGUAUAUCCUCGGCAUAGGAGGAUUUCUCUGGCUGCUUUAAGUUCGAACUGGAGAAUGGGUUUACAUUAGGGCAGCUCCAGCAAUGGCAGAAAUGAAAAUCAGGCCUUUGUGGCCUUGGGCACGUCACAGUCCUUCAGCCUCGGUUUGGCCACCUACGGAACAGGCCCAGUGCUUUAUCAUGUAUAUCACAGGGCUGUUG